UAGUGUUCAUCAGAGCCAUCAGAUGGCACCAGGGGACAUGGAGCCCCUGGCCAGUGUGAAUCAUAGUGGGGCAGGAGGGAAGACCCUGAACGAGAGAGCCAGCCUAACUUGACACCUUCCAGAUAGGAGGAAGUUCUCCA
rnacentral:lncRNA from 1 species